rnacentral:ncRNA from 1 species
CGUAGGAAUAUUGAGAAGGGCUGUCCCUAGUACGAGAGGACCGGGACGGACGAACCUCUGGUGUGCCAGUUGUCCUGCCAAGGGCAUGGCUGGUUGGCUACGUUCGGAAAGGAUAACCGCUGAAAGCAUCUAAGCGGGAAGCCUGCUUCGAGAUGAGUAUUCCCACCUCCUUGAGAGGGUAAGGCUCCCAGUAGACGACUGGGUUGAUAGGCCAGAUGUGGAAGCCUCGUAAGGGGUGGAGCUGACUGGUACUAAUAGGCCGA